UCCUUCUGGGCCAAGGCCACCGGGUAAGA
rnacentral:piRNA from 1 species